GACGAACGCUGGCGGCGUGCUUAACACAUGCAAGUCGAACGGAAAGGCCCUGCUUUUGUGGGGUGCUCGAGUGGCGAACGGGUGAGUAACACGUGAGUAACCUGCCCUUGACCUUGGGAUAACUUCAGGAAACUGGGGCUAAUACCGGAUAGGAGCUCCUGCUGCAUGGUGGGGGUUGGAAAGUUUCGGCGGUUGGGGAUGGACCCGCGGCUUAUCAGCUUGUUGGUGGGGUAGUGGCUUACCAAGGCCUUGACGGGUAGCCGGCCUGAGAGGGUGACCGGCCACAUUGGGACUGAGAUACGGCCCAGACUCCUACGGGAGGCAGCAGUGGGGAAUAUUGCACAAUGGGCGGAAGCCUGAUGCAGCAACGCCGCGUGCGGGAGGACGGCCUUCGGGUUGUAAACCGCUUUCGCCUGUGACGAAGCGUGAGUGACGGUAAUGGGGAAAGAAGCACCGGCUAACUACGU
rnacentral:rRNA from 1 species